ACACGUAGGGGGCGAGCGUUGUUCGGAAUCAUUGGGCGUAAAGGGCGCGCAGGCGGCCGCGUAAGUCUGGUGUAAAAUGGUUGUGCUCAACACAAUCAUGCGCUGGAAACUGCGGGGCUUGAGUCAACGAGGGGAUGCCGGAAUUCCAGGUGUAGGGGUGAAAUCUGUAGAUAUCUGGAAGAACACCAGUGGCGAAGGCAGGCAUCUGGCGACUGACUGACGCUGAGACACGAAAGCGUGGGGAGCAAAUAGGAUUAGAUACCCUAGUAGUCCACGCCGUAAACGAUGAGUACUAAGUGUCGGGAAACCGGUGCUGAAGUUAACACAUUAAGUACUCCGCCUGAGUAGUACGGUCGCAAGGCUGAAACUCAAAUGAAUUGGCGGGG
rnacentral:rRNA from 1 species